rnacentral:rRNA from 1 species
CAUUAUCGUACAAAAUGUGUGAGGCAUUGCAAGGGCUGUCGCUGACUUUUAAAUGCAAAAGUCGUGCACGCCAGUGUGUGUCCUCUCGCAUAAAAUCCAUCUCACCCUUUUGUGCACCACCGCGUGGGCACCCUUCGGGAUCCAACCGAUCCAGGAGGGGGGCCUGCGUUUUCACACAAAACCCCCUUUUAAAAAGUGUAGAAUGACCCCAUUUUUUGCAAUAACAUGCAAUCAAUACAACUUUCAACAACGGAUCUCUUGGCUCUCGCAUCGAUGAAGAACGCAGCGAAAUGCGAUACGUAAUGUGAAUUGCAGAAUUCAGUGAAUCAUCGAAUCUUUGAACGCACCUUGCGCCCCUUGGUAUUCCGAGGGGCACACCCGUUUGAGUGUCGUGAAUAUCUCAACCUUCUCGGUUUCUUCUGGAUGCCGAAGGAGGCUUGGACUUUGGAGGCCUUUGCUGGCGUCUCGUCAGCUCCUCUCAAAUGAAUUAGCAGGGUCCUCUUUGCCGAUCCUUGACAUGUGAUAAGAUGUUUCCGUGUCUUGGCUUCUGGCUCUGUCGCUUUUGGGAUCCGCUUCUAACCGUCUCAACGAGACAACGUCCGAGCGUGUCUCCCUUCUCGGGAAACACUCUCGAACCCACGAACCCUUGACCUCAAAUCGGGUGAGACUACCCGCUGAACUUAAGCAUAUCAAUA